GGGAUUACUGAACAAACAAGCUACGGAAAUGGAAGUUGAGGAAUCUUUCUCAUCAUUUGUCCAUGUUGAAGAUGACUAUCUCAUGAUUGAUGAAGUAAAUAUUGGUGGCAGUGUCUUAGCAUUGAGAAAUUGUAAUAAUUUACUGCUCAAAGAUGCUGAGUUUGAAAUUAGGAGAAGGUAGAGGAAGAAGAUGUUUUCCUUCGGAUAUUGCAAUGAUUUACUGCUCAAAGAGAAUGAGUUUGAAAUGAAGAGGAAGAAAAUCAGACCCUUGCUUCAGCUAUUUGUUUGCCAAAUGCUCUCCAAGUUGCUGGUUCCAGUG
rnacentral:misc_RNA from 1 species